UUUCCUUCUGGUGUAAAUAAAAGGUAGUCCCUGCCCAGUGCAGCUAGAGUAAUGUCUGCUGUGAACGGCGGCGUUAAAGUGAGCGUCCUAAGGUAGCGCGAUAAUUUGCCUUUCAAUUAAAGGAUGGUAUGAAAGGGUUAACGAGGAAGGUGCUGUGUCUAAAAACUUAGUUUAAACUAACUCAAAGGUGAAGAGGCCUUUAUGAAGAAGAAGGACGACAAGACCCUAUGAAGCUUAAUCUUAGUAGGGGUCUGAAAGACUUUGUACGAUUUUGAUGGGAGAUCAGUAAAAAUAAGUCUUUUACUAUUAUUUUAGUCAUACUAGUGUUUCCUAAUUUUAUAUGUGUGACUAGCUACUCUAGGGAUAACAGCGCAAUUCCUCCCGAAAGAUGGUAUUGGAGGGGAAGAUUGCGACCUCGAUGUUGGCUUUAGAUGUCCAAGAGGCGUAGAAGCUUCUAAUGGUGGGUCUGUUCGCCCUUUAAAAUCUA
rnacentral:rRNA from 1 species